rnacentral:rRNA from 1 species
CACGUAGUUAGCCGUGGCUUUCUGAUUAGGUACCGUCAAGACGUGCAUAGUUACUUACACAUUUGUUCUUCCCUAAUAACAGAGUUUUACGAUCCGAAGACCUUCAUCACUCACGCGGCGUUGCUCCGUCAGGCUUUCGCCCAUUGCGGAAGAUUCCCUACUGCUGCCUCCCGUAGGAGUCUGGACCGUGUCUCAGUUCCAGUGUGGCCGAUCACCCUCUCAGGUCGGCUACGCAUCGUUGCCUUGGUAAGCCGUUACCUUACCAACUAGCUAAUGCGGCGCGGAUCCAUCUAUAAGUGACAGCAAAACCGUCUUUCACUAUUGAACCAUGCGGUUCAAUAUAUUAUCCGGUAUUAGCUCCGGUUUCCCGAAGUUAUCCCAGUCUUAUAGGUAGGUUAUCCACGUGUUACUCACCCGUCCGCCGCUAACGUCAGAGGAGCAAGCUCCUCGUCUGUUCGCUCGACUUGCAUGUAUUAGGCACGCCGCCAGCGUUCAUCCUGAGCCA